UACGAAGGGGGCUAGCGUUGUUCGGAAUUACUGGGCGUAAAGCGCACGUAGGCGGAUUGUUAAGUUAGGGGUGAAAUCCCAGGGCUCAACCCUGGAACUGCCUUUAAUACUGGCAAUCUCGAGUCCGAGAGAGGUGAGUGGAAUUCCGAGUGUAGAGGUGAAAUUCGUAGAUAUUCGGAGGAACACCAGUGGCGAAGGCGGCUCUCUGGGACGGUACUGGACGCUGAGACGCGAAAAGCGUGGGGAGCGAACAGG
rnacentral:rRNA from 1 species